UUCCUAGGAAACAAGUUGUUGCAACUCUCAUUGGAGGAAGUAUAAGGUGAUCUCAGGGAAGGACAGAAGGGCCAGUUGCCUGCCAAAUCUAUGAUCAAGUCAGCUCCAUAGUCACUUUGCUACUACUUAUAAGUGAGAACAUACAGUGUUUGGUUUUUCAUUCCUGAGUUAAUUCACCUAGAAUAAUGGCCUCCGGCUCCAUCUAAGUUGCUGCAAAAGACAUUAUUUCAUUCCUUUUAUGGCUGAGUAGUAUUCAAUGUCCAGUGACUCAAGUUUGACACACCACACCACGGCAGAAAUGCCUUGUCUUUACACGUCUUCUCAGUAACACUAGAAAAUACAUCCAAAGACAUGUGGGCAAGGACUCAGCAAAAAGACGGCUAUCUACAAGCCAGGAGGAGAGUCCUCACCAGAACCAAACCCUGCUGGACCUUGAUCUUGGACUUCCUAGCCUCUAAAACUGUGCAAACAGAAAUUUUUGUUGUUUAACCUGCACAGGUCUGUGGUAUUUGUUUAUUAUGGCAGCCCAGGCAGACUAAGACAGGCCAUCAUAAGACGUGAACGUUUUGGACCUUCUCUUGUGCCCUAAUAAAUAGAAAUCAGGUAUGAAAAAGGAGUAAACAUAUAUUUUCCUUUAUUUUUGUUUGUAAUGUGUAAACUUUAGGUUUUUAUUUAUUUAUUUGCUGUGGACAAUCACAUUGUUUAUCUAUAAUGUAAUCACAUUGUUAAUAAAAAACUUCAAAAUUUUUAAAAAUUCUAAUUGAUUUCUAGAUGUUCAAAUGACAAGAUGGCAUUUCUAUAUCAUCAGAACAUAAAAUACUUCAGAAAAAAUAAAUUUACAAAAUAAUAUGUAUUAUAUUGAGAGAAAGAGAGAGUAUUGGAAGAAUAUAUACAAAUACAAUGUGAUAAUGUGAUAUAUUUGUGAGAAUGCUAUAUGUAAUUUUCUUUGUUUUAAUUUAUAUGAAUUUUUAAUAUUUUUACCUUUGAAAUAUAUAAAAGAGAGAAUAAAAGUCACUGACAAAAUCAAAA